UACGUGAGGGCGCAAGCGUUGUCCGGAAUUAUUGGGCGUAAAGAGCUCGUAGGCGGCCUGUUACGUCUGCUGUGAAAUCCCGGGGCUUAACCCCGGGCGUGCAGUGGAUACGGGCAGGCUGGAGGCAGGCAGGGGAGAACGGAAUUCCCGGUGUAGCGGUGAAAUGCGCAGAGUAGUCGGGAGGAACACCGGUGGCGAAGGCGGUUCUCUGGGCCUGACUGACGCUGAGGAGCGAAAGCGUGGG
rnacentral:rRNA from 1 species